UACGAAGGGGGCUAGCGUUGCUCGGAAUUACUGGGCGUAAAGCGCACGUAGGCGGGUUGUUAAGUCGGGGGUGAAAUCCUGGAGCUCAACUCCAGAACUGCCUUCGAAACUGACGAUCUUGAGUUCGGGAGAGGUGAGUGGAACUGCGAGUGUAGAGGUGAAAUUCGUAGAUAUUCGCAAGAACACCAGUGGCGAAGGCGGCUCACUGGCCCGAUACUGACGCUGAGGUGCGAAAGCGUGGGGAGCAAAC
rnacentral:rRNA from 1 species